UCAACACUUGCUGAAUGUUUAUGGAAAUCAAACAGUGGAUCUGUCAUGCCACAAAAUGAGGAGUGUCUCAAUCAGCUCAUCCACAUGAAUUCACAGAUUGUGACCAGGGAACUUUGUAUGGAGCUGGCUAUCAAUUUCAGUGUGUUGGAAAUGAUGGUGACAACUUUGGAAUAUAAUAAAGUUUGCGCCUGGUGGGUCCCACAAAUGCUCACACAGGAACAGAAAGAACCUCUAUUGCAAGAUUGUCAGACCUAUGGAACCAAUACAAGGCUGAAGGUGAUGGUUUCCUGGACUGCAUACUUAGGGGGGCAAGACAUGGUGUCACCACUAUGAGCUGGAGUCAAAACAGCAGUCCUUAGAGUGGUGAGUGCCCUACCGAAGGAAAGGUUCAAGACACAGCCCUCCGGGGGUGAUGCGAUGUGCACUGUCUUCUGGUAUAAGAAAAGGACGAUUCUUCUGGAUUUCCUGGAACACAGACAAAACAUCAACUCUGACCACUACAUUGUGAUGCUGACUGAGCUGAUGGCUCAAGCUUCCACAAUAAGGCCAGAGAAGAAAAUAACCUUUCUCUUGCAACACAAACACCAGGCCCCAUACCAGUUAGAAGACUGUGGAGCACAUUGCCAAUCUUGACUGGACUGUCCUGACAUGCCCAUCACAGAGUGUGGAUUUGGCACCUUCUGACUUCCAUAUCUUCAGGCUGAUGAAUGUGGCCUCUGUGGGCAAUAUUUUCCUAGCAAUUAUGCUGUCAUAGCAGCUGUGGAACAGUGGUUCACAUCCACUAGUGCAGAUUUUUCUGGGCAUGGAGUGCAGGCUCUUGUGCAUUUUCACCAGUGAUGAACAGGUGAUGGUGAUGAAAUAUGUUUACAAAUAGUGUUAUGUAGCUCAGAAUUUGUCUAUCAAAUAGUGUUAUUGUGUUUUGUAUCUGUUCUUUCCAUGGAACUAAAGAGGAGGCAUUACUUCUGGAGUGACCUACAUAGAAUCAUACUGUGUGAGCUUAUGUGUUGCUUUUGAGGGGAAAGAGAGGGGAAAAAAGAAUUACUUCUGUUCACUCCUUCCUGACAUAAGGACCUAAAUAUUACGGUGACCCAAAAAAUGCAGUCCUUCAGAACUAGUCUGCUCUCUUCCCCUGGUCUGUGGAGCCUUAGGAGGAAAGUAGCUUGGUCAUACCUGCUACACAUAUUUAGUAGUAGUGUAAAAGGUGACUGAAGGAAUGGGCAGCCAGCCAGAGCCUUUGGUGUGAAGCUGCCUUCACGCCUACCUGGGACAAACGAGCCUUUUUUCAGCUGUCAUGAAAGCACUGUGCAUAGACUCUAAAAUCAAUGUGUUUGGAUUGUCAUUUUGAGUACCUUUCUGAAACUUUUGUUUUUCUAAUAACAGAGUAUUUGUUGUAGAAUAAUCCACCGUGUUGCAGUCUGCUAAAUUCCAAUGCAUAAUAUGAAACAAUGUGCUUCAAAGCAUUUAUCCUUUUUCUAAUAAGGAAAAACAACCAAAAAAAGUACCCUCCCAUGCCUAGCUCUUCAGGCAGUUUCCACCAAGGAGUUGUUAGGAGGAGUUAUUACUUCCCCACACCUUCUGUAGUAUCAAGAAUUUCUUUUAAAGUAUUCUGAAAACAAAACCAGCUGGGGUUAAACAAAGUCCUAUGAGAACUUAAUGAGAUUUUGGUCUUGAUAGAUAGGGAUUUGCUCUUGCGUUCUCAAACUUACAUUUUAGUAAAGGUAGCUAAGGUGAUGUUCUUCUUGACAUAGAAUCAUUUAUAGUGAUAAUUCCUGCAAAUGGGAAGGCACAUUUCUGAGCUCACAAAGAGACCACACAGGCAAAAGGAAAACACUCUAAAAGACAAACAAAAGAAAAGUGAGGGAAAAAGUAGGCCAAACACUCAAAAAGUGAGCAGCAGAAAGGGGAGGGGAAAAAAAGAAUUCAAACUUGCUAGAACAAAGCACUUGAAUUGGGGGAAAUAUAAAGAAAAAAAGGUCUAUAUGAAACUAACCCAGUGAAAUGUUUUACACCUACAGCACAAUGCCUUUCUAGCAGCUGAUCAUUUUACUAAAAUUGUUGUAAUAGCUAGUUUUUACACACUUGAGGCAGCAACUAGUGUCUAAGGCAAAAGACUUAUAGUUUGCUCUGGGCAUAAUGGUAUGAGAGGAGCUAGCUGCCAAGUGGGUCUGUGAUUUGAAUAGGGCGCCUUUGGUUUGGUAGGUGGUGUGUUUGUUCUGUGGCUGCAGUUCACUAGAAGUUGUUUGAUGCACUGGCCAAUGAUAACUAUCUUGGGAGGGGGAGAAGCCCAAAUCCUCCCUGUUUCAAGGAGAGAACAGAACAAAGUAUUUGUGUGGAUGGAAAGAAAAGUUGACAAACUCCAUGGUAACAUGAAGUACAUCAAUUCAUGGGGUACUUUGUGGUUUAUCACUUAAAAAAUAAAGAUUUAUUGACCCCAAA